rnacentral:rRNA from 1 species
UACGUAGGGUGCAAGCGUUGUCCGGAAUUAUUGGGCGUAAAGAGCUCGUAGGCGGUUUGUCGCGUCUGCUGUGAAAACUCGGGGCUUAACCCCGGGCCUGCAGUGGGUACGGGCAGGCUAGAGUGCGGUAGGGGAGACUGGAAUUCCUGGUGUAGCGGUGAAAUGCGCAGAUAUCUGGAGGAACACCGGUGGCGAAGGCGCCAUCCUGGACCGGCAUUGACGCUGAGGCGCGAAAGCCAGGGGAGCAAACGGG